UUCCCCAAUCUAUUGAAAAGAAUGUGUAUUCUAACUUAUGUUUUACAUUAAGGAUAAAAGAAAUUUAUUGUUAUGAUAAAUUUUUCAUUUUUAUUAAUUAUAUUUGUUAAUUUACUGCAUCUUGUACCGGGGGUUUGUAAAAGUUGAUGACAGUAAAGCUCACUCUGUUCUCAUCAUAUGGCAGGAGAAUAGAAAUUGAACGAAGUAAUUGAACAAAGCCACGAACUUUUUCUUCUUCUUCUUCUUUUUUUGAAGUACUACAUAUACCUAUGGGUCACUCUUAAGAAAGAAGUUAAGGAAAAUGUACUGGAUGUAUACAUAUAAGUAUAUCCCCCAAGAAAAUAAGCACAAUAUAUCUAUAAUUUUUGCAUCCUAGUUUUUUUUUGUUAGCUACGAUAUAUCUAUAAUGGAUUUGAUUUUUCUUUGAUUGAUAUCAGAUUGGUAAUGUUGUUACUGAUGAUUAUCAUGACUAUAUAUUGGCACAUUUAAAUAUUUGUGGACCCAUGGUUUGGUUUCAAAUUCCACGUAUAGGAUGCUAAGAAUUGCUUGCAAUUUUGGUGUUCUCUUAAUGAAAACUGAAUUAGCUUCAAUUUCUAAUACUUAUAUUACUUCUUGAGAAAUAUUAUCUCCUCAAGAAAGUUAUUGAAGUGGUUAAUAAACUUAUGAAAUCUUGGAAUUUAACAUAGGAGCAUUUUGAUUACAAAUUUACAAUCUCUAGGAAUUUACUGAGGUGAGGAUGAUAUAUGCAGUACGAUUCACUUGCAAAAUAAUCUAGAUGAAAACAAAACAUAUUGGUCCCAAAAACUAAACCAUAUUGAUUUUCUGUUGUGAAUGCAAUCAAUUGUGAGAAAAACAUUCUUGUUAAUUUUUUAUCUUAAAAUUACAUGGUUACUAGUCUAUUUUUCUUAAAGGCUAAGGAAAAUGGUUACUAGUCUAUUUAAGAUUAGGAGUUUAGGACUGUCAUAUUUUCUAGAAUAACAUUUUGCAAUUGCUAAAGUCACUUAAAUUCACUUAGAUUCCAUGGCUUAACUUUUCUCUUCAUUGAUUCUUGAAGAUAACCUCUCUAAAAAGCAACUGCUUCUGUUCCUGCGUCUAAUUAUGCCAAGCAUGUUUGCAUGAAGAUUCUCUUCACCUUUCUGAUGGAAAUAAGAAUUUUGAAAUUCUAUUUUGUGUGAGUAGAUUGUGGAGACUACUCUUUUUAUGUUUUAGGGGUUAGACGAUAUGCUGAAUGCUCCUAGAACUAAAAUUGGGCUGAAGAGAAUGGGAGAACUUGAUCGUAAGGUUUUUGUGAAUAACUGCAAGAAAAGAUUUCCUCUUGAAGAAGCUGGGACCAAAGGUGUCGAGCUUUGUUCUUUGUGGCAGGAAAAUGUGAAGAAUUCAACUUGGCAUCCAUUUAAAGUGGUCACAAUUGAUGAUAAAGCAGAGCCUUAAAAGAAAUAAAUGAAUACAAUGCAAGCGGUGGGUAUACUGUUGUGGAGCUAUGGAACUAGCUUCAAGGAUAACAGGAAGGCUACAUUGAAAGAAGUUAUCAAUUAUAUUAUGGAACAUAUCAAACCACUUAAGCGCAAGAGAGCUUAGGCAAAAGCCCAGGAUUGAUGAUAAACACCCAAGAUGGUUACAUCUGCGGAUCCGACCAUCUUCUUUACCUGUUCUGGAUCCUGCCAAGUUCAACCACCCCAGGAAAUUAAAGACAAAAGCUUUUGUCGAUGGAAGAUGGACAUUGGUGUUCAGGGAUGAGGAGUCUUGUAAGUCUGCUUUAUCCAUGAUUCUUGAAGAAAUUAAUUUUCUGAGUGACGAGGUUCAUAGAAGACUAAAGCCUUUGCUCAACCUUGAAACCGCGUUGGAUUUAUCAAGCCCAGAGGAGGAUUCCUCUACACAUUCAACAACAUCUCCCAAUUCGGUGUAAGGUCUUCGACUUUAUUUGCAUGUGAUUUUCUAUUCAAGGGGUGGGAAAUUAUUAAGUCGGUCACCCUUUUUUGUAUAUCCUCCAAAUAGAUAGACAUACCAAAUUUGUAGAUUAGCUACUGUGGUUUAGUGUCAUUCUUUUUGUGUAUUAGUCUUUUCCAUUUUUUUUAACUAUAUAGAUUUUAGUUUUAGAAUCAUGCAAUAAAAUCACUGUCUCUGUGACAA